UAUCAGAAUUAUUCAGGCUAGUCCCAAGGU
rnacentral:piRNA from 1 species